AUUGAACGCUGGCGGCAGGCUUAACACAUGCAAGUCGAGCGAGCGGCGGACGGGUGAGUAAUGUCUGGGAAACUGCCUGAUGGAGGGGGAUAAAUACUGGAAACGGUAGCUAAUACCGCAUACCAUAAGAUGUGCCCAGAUGGGAUUGGCUAGUAGGUGGGGUAAUGGUUCACCGAGGACCCGAUCCCUAGAUGGUCUGAGAGGAUGACAGUCCACACGGGAACGGAGACACGGCCCAAGCUCCUACGGGAGGCAGCAGGGGGAAAUAUUGCACAAUGGGCGGAAGCCUUAUGCAGCCAGGACGCGUGUGUGAAGAAGGCCUUCGGGUUGUAAAGCACGUUCAGCGAGGAGGCGUUACUCGUAGAAGAAGCACCGGCUAAGUCCGUGACAGCAGCCGCGGUAAUAC
rnacentral:rRNA from 1 species